rnacentral:rRNA from 1 species
UCGGGAAUUUUGGGCAAUGGGCGAAAGCCUGACCCAGCAACGCCGCGUGAAGGAUGAAGUAUUUCGGUAUGUAAACUUCGAAAGAAUAGGAAGAAUAAAUGACGGUACUAUUUAUAAGCCCCGGCUAACUUCGUGCCAGCAGCCGCGGUAAUACGAAGGGGGCUAGCGUUGUUCGGAAUUACUGGGCGUAAAGCGCACGUAGGCGGAUGUGCCAGUCAGGGGUGAAAUCCCGAGGCUCAACCUCGGAACUGCCUCCGAUACAGCACGUCUCGAGUCCGGAAGAGGUGAGUGGAAUUCCUAGUGUAGAGGUGAAAUUCGUAGAUAUUAGGAAGAACACCAGUGGCGAAGGCGGCUCACUGGUCCGGUACUGACGCUGAGGUGCGAAAGCGUGGGGAGCAAACAGGAUUAGAUACCCGGGUAGUCCCUGAGCGGGCUGGCAAGGCGCAU